AUUGAACGCUGGCGGCAGGCCUAACACAUGCAAGUCGAGCGGAUGAAGGGAGCUUGCUCCUGGAUUCAGCGGCGGACGGGUGAGUAAUGCCUAGGGAUCUGCCUGGUAGUGGGGGAUAACGUCCGGAAACGGGCGCUAAUACCGCAUACGUCCUGAGGGAGAAAGGGGGGGAUCUUCGGACCUCACGCUAUCAGAUGAGCCUAGGUCGGAUUAGCUAGUUGGUGGGGUAAAGGCCUACCAAGGCGACGAUCCGUAACUGGUCUGAGAGGAUGAUCAGUCACACUGGAACUGAGACACGGUCCAGACUCCUACGGGAGGCAGCAGUGGGGAAUAUUGGACAAUGGGCGAAAGCCUGAUCCAGCCAUGCCGCGUGUGUGAAGAAGGUCUUCGGAUUGUAAAGCACUUUAAGUUGGGAGGAAGGGCAGUAAGUUAAUACCUUGCUGUUUUGACGUUACCAACAGAAUAAGCACCGGCUAACUUCGUG
rnacentral:rRNA from 1 species